rnacentral:rRNA from 1 species
UACAGGGGGGGCAAGCGUUGUCCGGAAUUACUGGGCGUAAAGCGCACGUAGGCGGCUUUGUAGGUUAGAGGUGAAAGCCCGGAGCUCAACUCCGGAAUUGCCUUUAAGACUGCAUCGCUUGAAUCCGGGAGAGGUGAGUGGAAUUCCGAGUGUAGAGGUGAAAUUCGUAGAUAUUCGGAAGAACACCAGUGGCGAAGGCGGCUCACUGGACCGGUAUUGACGCUGAGGUGCGAAAGCGUGGGGAGCAAACAGG